AUUGAACGCUGGCGGCAGGCCUAACACAUGCAAGUCGAACGAGUGGCGGACGGGUGAGUAAUGUCUGGGACACUGCCUGAGGGAGGGGGAUAACUACUGGAAGCGAUAGCUAAUACCGCAUAACAUCGUAUGUGCCCAGAUGGGAUUAGCUAGUAGGUGGGGUAAAGGCUCACCUAGGCGAACAUCCCUAGCUGGUCUGAGAGGAUGACCAGCCACACUGGAACUGAGACACGGUCCAGACUCCUACGGGAGGCAGCAGGGGGGAAUAUUGCACAAUGGGCGCAAGCCUGAUGCAGCCAUGCCGCGUGUAUGAAGAAGGCCCUAGGGUUGUAAAGUACUUUCAGCGGGGAGGCGUUACCGGCAGAAGAAGCACCGGCUAACUCCGUGCCAGCAGCCGCGGUAAUUC
rnacentral:rRNA from 1 species